CUCAUGUAAUUGGUGCAGUACCAUUCCCGCCCACUAGAGGGCAGUUGACUUAAGUGUAUUGAGUGAACUGGCUGCGUUUAGUUCAGAUGAAGAAGCCAGCUGGACAUGCAUCCAUGAGGUUGGAAAUGCAUCCCAGAUCUGAUGAAAGAUUAGAUUUUUUCGGUUGAUUUAUCGUGUUUCUUUAUGAGAACUCUGAUUGGGUUUUAUGAGUGGAUUUUGAUUCUGCAUCGUGACCUACUUUUGAUUGGCGAGCCAGAGCCCUUUUUGAUCUACACACGUGGAGUGAACCCACGCCCCCUUGUGGAUUUACGGUAUAUAACAGCUAAGCUGUGAUCUCACACACUUUGUACACACUACCCGGGUAGAAAAAUUUACAAAAAAGGCCUUUACACACAUUCACAUUGAGAACUAUAUUUACACACAUGGAUAUCUGAGGACCGUAUAUACAUACAGGAUACAAGAGACUUUGGGACAUUUUAUUUUAUUUUUAUUUCCUCUUUAUUCUAUCUUGAGCUCAAUAUCAAGCACUUUCUCCCACCCUUAAUUGGGGUAUUAAGAGUAUCUGUUUAAAUUGUGGGAAUAGUUAUUUCCAAAGUUUUUUUCUGAAUUUUCAAUUAAAAUGCCGGCU